UAAUACGUAGGUGACAAGCGUUAUCCGGAAUUACUGGGCGUAAAGCGCACGCAGGCGGCUGCUUAAGUCUGACGUGAAAUCUCCUGGCUUAACUGGGAGGGGUCGUUGGAAACUGGGUGGCUUGAGGUGGUGAGAGGGGUGCAGAAUUCCCGGUGUAGUGGUGGAAUGCGUAGAUAUCGGGAGGAAUACCAGUGGCGAAAGCGGCACCCUGGCACUGACCUGACGCUCAUGUGCGAAAGCGUGGGGAGCAAACGGG
rnacentral:rRNA from 1 species